UAUUAAAAUGCUUAAAGUCCACUAAGCCCUGUGACCCUGGGGAUGGUACUUUUCUCUUCACAGAAGAAGUUUACAUUGCCACAGACCUGCAAGCCACAGAACAGGACAACAAGGACUGCUGCUUCUUCAUUCUGCCUCACAGAGCCGGACUGGGCAGAAUACUCUCCUGAGGACAGGGGAGACUCAAGGCCACAUCAUUCCAACGGGUAGAGAGAACUGCAGAGUGGACCACAAAUUAUACAAGUAAAAAGAAGCUGAGCCCGAGUUAGCAAUGUCUGCUGCGUUCUCACAUCGGAUCCUGUGCACAGCACAUACGCACUAUCAAAUCUCUGGAGCAUUUGCAGUCCACAGUGCUCAUGUGCUUACUCUUUGCAAAGGACAUUUUAAAAUGUUCAACACCUCGCUUUUAGCGAAUGAGCUACAAUGGUACAGCAUUAUAUUAAUGUUGAAUUUUUGGAAUCUAAACAAUACCAGAGUAGCCCUAUUGCCAAAUAAAACUAAUGGUAACACAAAUAAAGCAUGGUAAGCAUCAAUAAAAUCUUAGUAUAAAAUAGGAAUUUGCAUUUUGA
rnacentral:lncRNA from 1 species